UUAAUACUAAACGCCAGAUUUUUCAAUUCUUCGUUGCUUUCUUUUUGGUCCCGUUAGCGUCACGUUCUUGUUAACUCGCAACCCCAUUUCAGUCCACAGUCCCUCAAAUUCUGCCCACGAAAUCUGCUCAUCUUCCGGGUGAGAAUUCUGCUUAUCGCUGACCCAUCCCUCAUCCUCCUCUCUGUGAUGCCCACCAUGAUUGACCUUUUCUGCCCCAUCCUCAGUGGUUGAAUCUGAGUUCAAAAUUCUACUAAUACCUUCAAGAUAACUCUCAAAAUCCAAAUCCAAGCUAGAAUCUUCAGAACUUGACCCCUCCUGUUCUGACCUACUGCUUUCUUAACUACAGGGUUGAACAUCUUCUUCCACAUAAAUAUAUGAAACAGAUUUGAGAUUUAGCCGAGGGUUCAAGAUGUUCCAGAAACAGAAAUUCUGGGCAUCCUACGAUUCGGCUCAUGAAUCUGCGAAGGUUUUAAAUGUUUGUUAUAUGGCGUUGAGUGAACGCUUUAUGAAUCUUGAAUGAAAAUUACUAAAAAGGAUUAUGAAUUUUUGUUCCAAGUUCUAAUCACGAGGGAAGGACAAUUGCCAAAUCAAUUGGAGGAUGCCUAAAGCAAUAGAGGAAAAAUGACAAACCAAAUCAAGUGUUCAGAUUCAAGAAUCCUUUGGUUAUGCGGUUAGUUUGAUGAAUCUUUAGGAACAGUUUUAGAGUAAUGUUAAGAAGAUCAACGUUCUCUGUCCAUAUGAGCAAAAGCUUACAUUAUUUGUUCAAAACAUCCUGCUUUGCAUUUUCCUCAGCUGGGGGCUUAAAGGAUCAUAGUCAUGUACAUACACUAAAUAAUAAUGGGUCGGAGUCUGAAACUGAAUGGGAAAGGUUACUUAAACCUUUCGACCUGAAUGAGCUUCAGAAAUUGCUUGUUCGAAUUUCCCCAUUUCAGCUUUGUAAGUUACUUAAACUUCCACUUGAUGUCACUACGUCACUGGAUAUAUUUGAAUGGGCAGGCUCCCAAAAGGGUUAUUGCCACUCAUUUGAUGUCUACUAUGUGUUAAUUGAUAAGCUUGGGGCUGCUGGGGAGUUUAAAGUUGUUGAUAGGUUGUUGGCACAGAUGAAGGAACAAGGUAUUGUUUUCAGAGAGUCCCUUUUCAUCUUGAUUAUGAAAUAUUAUGGGAAAUCUGGGUUUCCAGGUCAAGCAACUAGGCUGCUUUUGGAUAUGAAAGCUGUUUACUUUUGUCAACCGACUUUUAGAUCCUAUAAUGUUGUAUUAGAAAUACUAGUAGAUGGAAAUUGUCCGAAAGUUGCAUCCAAUGUUUUCUAUGACAUGCUGAGCAAGGGUAUCUCUCCCACAGUUUACACUUUUGGAAUAGUGAUGAAAGCACUUUGUAUGAUUAAUGACGUGGACUCUGCAUGCUCACGCUUAAGGGACAUGACAAAGCAUGGGUGCGUGCCAAAUUCAGUAGUUUACCAGACUUUAAUACACGCACUCUCCAAGAAUAACUGUGACAAUGAAGCAUUAAAGCUUUUGGAAGAAAUGUUUCUGAUGGGUUGUACACCUGACAUUCGGACUUUUGAUGAUAUUAUCCAUGCCCUUUGCAAGGCCAAUCGGAUUCACGAGGCAGCAAAAUUGGUUGAUCGUAUGAUUCUUCGAGGUUUUGCUCCUGAUGAUAUAACUUAUGGAGUUUUAAUGCAUGGAUUGUGUAAAACAGGGCAAGUUGAUGAAGCAAGGGCAUUGUUGAACAAAGUGCCAAAUCGCAAUAAUGUGCUUUUCAAUACAUUGAUUAAUGGAUAUGUUAUGAGUGGAAGAUUUGAUGAAGCUAAGGCAGUUAUCUAUGAUGACAUGUUAAAAUUUGGUUGUCAGCCUGAUGCUUUUACAUUUAACAUACUGAUUUAUGGACUUUGCAAAAAAGGUUUAUUAUAUUCAGCUUUUGCAUUGGUGGAUGAGAUGACAGUUAAGGGAUGUGAGCCUAAUGUAAUAACAUACACAACGUUGAUUGAUGGAUUCUGCAAGGAAGGCCAACUAGAGGAAGCUGGCAAUGUUUUGAACGAGAUGGAAGCCAAGGGGGUUUGUCUCAAUACUGUGGGAUACAAUUGCCUUAUAUCUGCUCUAUGCAAGUCUGGAAAUGUUGAUAAAGCCUUGACAAUGUUUAAUGAAAUGCCAUCCAAAGGAUGUAAGCCAGACAAAUUUACGUUUAACUCUCUAAUAUUUGGACUAUGUAAGGUUAGUAGAAUGGAAGAAGCAUUGGGAUAUUAUCGUGAUAUGUUUUUGGAGGGUGUUAUCGCCAACACUGUCACUUACAACACAUUGAUUCACGCCUUUUUGAGGAGAGGGGAAAUCCAAGAAGCACUUAAACUUGCAAAUGAUAUGUUAUUUAAGGGAUGCCCUCUUGACAAAAUAACAUACAAUGGCCUAAUAAAGGCACUCUGUAGAGCUGGGGCUGUUGAGAAAGGCAUGGCACUGUUUGAAGAAAUGAUGAGGAAGGGGCUUCAUUCAGAUAAUAUUUCAUGCAAUAUUUUAAUUAAUGGUCUCUGUAGAAGUGGUAGAGUACAUCAUGCACUUGAAUUUCUAAGGGAUAUGAUUCAUCGAGGUUCAACGCCAGACAUAGUCACUUACAACAGCCUAAUAAAUGGCCUAUGCAAGGUAGGACGAAUGUGGGAGGCUCUGAAUCUCUUUGAAAGAUUACAAGUUGAGGGAAUAUGUCCGGAUGCUGUCACUUACAACACCUUAAUCAGUUCUUAUUGUAGAGAAGGCAUGACAAAUGAUGCUUGCAUGUUUCUAUAUAGGGGUGUGGAGAAGGGAUUUAUCCCAAAUGAUGUAACUUGGUACAUCGUGGUCAGUAAUUUGUUUAAAGGAGCCACCAAAGGAGAGUAAAACUUCAUAUCCGCUGUCUUGAUUUCAUAUAACACUGAAAAAAGUUGUGGAAAGUCUGGUAAAAUUAAGUGGCUGGAAAGAAGGGUUAAGAUCUUGGGAAAUUAAGCUUUAUAUGGCUUGUUGAGUUUGUAACCUGAUGGAAGGGGUACAUGGUUCGUACUUCAGCUGACAAUCACUGUUUUCUAUUCCUAAAAAGUGUGAUUGGUGAAGGGGAAGAGUGACCACAUAAAUGUGUUUAUAGAUUGAAGAAUUUCUUAAGGCCUUGUUUGACCUUGGAUCUUAGUUUUUAGUAGGAAAAAUAGAAGGGAAAUGUUUUUUGAUAAGAGACUUUUAAUAUAUACUAGAUACAAACAACGUGCAAU